rnacentral:lncRNA from 1 species
ACCGGCGGAUUAAGCUCGCUUUCUUCUAGGCGCGUUUCCUGAAGGUCGAUGGCCAGGUGGUCUUCAUAAACUAUACUGCCUUGUGAUGCCUCCCUAGAAAUGAGAGGUCUCAAUACCAGCUCAGACCAUGUGGACCGCGGAUGAGAUUGCUCAGCUAUGCUAUGAACACUAUGGGAUCAGGCUGCCCAAGAAGGGGAAGCCUGAGCCAAACCAUGAGUGGACAUUAUUGGCAGCGGUGGUGAAGAUACAAUCUCCAGCUGACAAGGCCUGCGACACCCCUGAUAAGCCGGUGCAAGUGACAAAGGAAGUUGUGUCAAUGGGAACAGGAACAAAAUGCAUAGGACAGUCCAAAAUGAGGAAGAACGGUACCUUCUCCACCAACUCCAGUUGGCAGCCACCCUGAAAGAGGAUAGCAUCUUUGUCCCAGGAACUCAAAAAGGAGUGUGGAAACUUAGACGAGACCUCAUUUUUGUGUUUUUCUCCAGCCAUACACCCUGUGGGGAUGCCUCCAUCAUUCCGAUGCUUGAGUUUGAAGAUCAGCCUUGCUGUCCUGUCUUCAGAAAUUGGGCC